rnacentral:tRNA from 1 species
AUAUGGUUUAGUGGUGGAGUGCUUGCCUAGUAUGCAUGAGGCCCUGGGUUCAAUCCCCAGCAU